CUUACGAGCAGAAGUGAUUAAAUCACGUUAUCUAGAGGAAGGAGAAGUCGUAACAAGGUAACGGUAGGUGAACUGCCGUUGGAUCAGUU
rnacentral:ncRNA from 1 species